rnacentral:rRNA from 1 species
GCUUGCUAUCGAUGCUGACGAGCGGCGGACGGGUGAGUAAUGCCUGGGAAUAUGCCCUGAUGUGGGGGAUAACUAUAGGAAACGAUAGCUAAUACCGCAUAAUCUCUUCGGAGCAAAGAGGGGGACCUUCGGGCCUCUCGCGUCAGGAUUAGCCCAGGUGGGAUUAGCUUGUUGGUGGGGUAAUGGCUCACCAAGGCAACGAUCCCUAGCUGGUCUGAGAGGAUGAUCAGCCACACUGGAACUGAGACACGGUCCAGACUCCUACGGGAGGCAGCAGUGGGGAAUAUUGCACAAUGGGGGAAACCCUGAUGCAGCCAUGCCGCGUGUAUGAAGAAGGCCUUCGGGUUGUAAAGUACUUUCAGUUGUGAGGAAGGCGUUGAUGUUAAUAGCUUCAGCGUUUGACGUUAGCAACAGAAGAAGCACCGGCUAACUCCGUGCCAGCAGCCGCGGUAAUACGGAGGGUGCGAGCGUUAAUCGGAAUUACUGGGCGUAAAGCGCAUGCAGGUGGUCUGUUAAGCAAGAUGUGAAAGCCCGGGGCUCAACCUCGGAACAGCAUUUUGAACUGGCAGACUAGAGUACUGUAGAGGGGGGUAGAAUUUCAGGUGUAGCGGUGAAAUGCGUAGAGAUCUGAAGGAAUACCGGUGGCGAAGGCGGUC